UGCUCUGUGCUGAUUCAUUAUCUCACCUUCAGAGGUAGUGAGAGGUUCUCCCUGUGGUUUCUUGAGUGGUUGUGUUUAUCUACGUAUAAACACCAACCAAGAACUUUCUACAUGAGAUUUCCAUUGCCGGUCUCCCAGUGUUUAACUUAAGCCCUAUUUAUCUGGAGGAAGAUGACGCUUUUGAAGAGGCAAUUCAGUGUAGUCUCCUGUAAGAGUCUGAUAGGCCUAGUGCUGUUCAUGUUUUAAGGUCCUCUGAGAUGCUGAGCAAAGAAGAAAUAGCAGGCCUUCUAAAAGCUCAUAGUGAUAGAGUUACUACAUCAGGAACAAGACAAAUCUGUAUCAGUCGAACAAAUGUCUGGACCACAGCUUUGCGUCAGUUUAAGAGACAAAGGUUUGCAGAAAGCUGUGACAUGCUCUACGUCAUAUUUGCCAGCUUAUGAGCAUGAUGCUGAGGAAGAUGCUGCUGACUUCGGAGGGCCCAGACGAGAGUUUUUCCGUUUACUGGUGAAGGCUAUUUUGCAGGACAGCGGAGCUUUUGAAGGCACCCCAAAUGGAUGCGCACCAAGAUUAAACAUCCUCCACUUGCAGAACGGAGUUUAUCGAACAAUUGGCAGAAUGAUGUCAACAGUAAUAGUGCAAGGGGGUGAACCACCUGCGUUUCUGUCCCGGCAUGUAGUGAACUACAUUGUGUCUGGGGACAUCCUCCAAGUACACGUCACACCUGGUGACAUAGGUGACCCUAAGUUAAGGGAUAACCUGAAAAAGGUAUUGUCACUCUUGAGAGAGAAGCCCAUCCUGCGUGUAUUGCUUGACAUACCAGGGGAGGACCAAGAUCUUGGAGCCAACUUUAUUGCUGGUCUUCUCAAACCAACCUACUCUGUUCCAGGGGAGCAACAGGAAAGCUAAGGAGCAGUUGAUAGUGGUAAAAUUCGGGAAUUUCUCCUGUGUCGAAAAUGGAGCUGAAAGACACAUUUGGAGACAGGAAUCUAACCAAGGACAAGGAGGCAUUCCUGACGGCUUUGAGACCUGGUCACAUCCUGGUUUUUGCUACGGCAAGUGGCAAGAUCCCUGCAAUCGGUUUUUCAUCCAACUCCUAAAUUAACAUUCGUUCAUGAUGACAGCAAAAAUCUUCCCAUUGCACACACGGGCAAAUGAGCUUAAGCUUUUUGUGAACACGACCACAUUGGCUGAAGAAUUUAACUACUGCUUCCUGGUCGCUCUAAUGAAUGGAUCUUUAUUCAGCACCAUCUAAGCAAAUGUUACAAUACCUUUAGAGGUGUAAUGCACAGAAAUGCAUCAGCAAAUUUAAGUCAAACAUACACUAUGUGAAGCACAGUUGACCAACUAAGGUUGUUCCUCAAAUGUUCAGAUGUUAAGUUUGUAUUCCUACGGUAAUUUGUUUAAUAGCUGACAUGUUUUGUCUAUAAAUGUGCUGGAGUAAAGAAGCAGCUUACAAAAAGGUGAUAAAUGCCCUUGUAAGAAUUUCAAAAGUAUGAGAUACACACAAACCAAACUUUGUAAUUAAUUGAGGAUUUAUUCCUUUUCAUGUCACAUCCUGCCACAGCUUAUUUCUUGUGGUAUGAAAUCGAUAAUAAAACACAAAGUUAGGAAAAACUUACAGAAAGCACAUUGUGGCAGACAUUGGUCAAGGUUUUUACAGGCUUACGACUGCUACAGAUGACAGAUUUACUUUGUUCAUUUUUCAGAG